rnacentral:rRNA from 1 species
UGGGGGAUAUUGCACAAUGGGCGAAAGCCUGAUGCAGCGACGCCGCGUGGGGGAUGAAGGCCUUCGGGUUGUAAACUUCUUUUGCUCUGAACAAGGCAUGCUAAUGGGUGUGUUGAGUGUAGGGGUUGAUUAGCGCCGGCUAACUACGUGCCAGCAGCCGCGGUAAUACGUAGGGCGCGAGCGUUGUCCGGAAUUAUAGGGCGUAAAGGGCUUGUAGGUGGCUGGUUGCGUCUGUCGUGAAAGCUCAUGGCUUAACUGUGGGUUUGCGGUGGGUACGGGCUGGCUUGAGUGCAGUAGGGGAGGCUGGAAUUCCUGGUGUAGCGGUGGAAUGCGCAGAUAUCAGGAGGAAUACCGGUGGCGAAGGCGGGUCUCUGGGCUGUUACUGACACUGAGGAGCGAAAGCAUGGGGAGCGAACAGG